rnacentral:lncRNA from 1 species
GGCCGGGCCGCCCAGAGCUCGCCAUUGGGCCUCACUCCCGGGGUCCCGAGCGCCGGCCAUGCUGAUUGGCCGCUGGGGCUUCAUUCACAGCCCCCCUACAGUCCGCAUACACACUCACGCCCCGGGGGCGCGGCCGCCACGUGGGGAGUGGCGCGGGGGUGGUACUGGGACCGCACCCCCUCUCGUCCUGGCUGCGUGGGCCCGCUUUCCCCGGUCUCUGGAGACUCCGAGCCCGGCGGGUCCCACGCUCCACGCGAGCAGAAUUCCCGCAGGUCUCCCGCCCGGGUGGCCAGAGGCGGUGGCGGGGAUGGCGGGCUCCGGGAGGCGCUCCGGCUCCGAGAAGCCGCUUAGCCCCGCGCUCCUCCCUCCGCAGUGCCGCCGCCGGCGGGCCGGGAUUCCCGCGGGUCUCGGCGGCCGCGAGCUGCAGGCGGCGCGGGUCCCCGGCUCGGUUGGUCACCUUGCCCGCCUCGCCUCCCACGGCUUCCAGCGGGCGCGGAGCUCUCCUCUGCGCGCCUCCCCGGCCCGUCUCGGUUUCCCUUCUUCGUCCUCUAGACCAUCCAGCGCAACUCCGUCGACCUCCGCGGCCCUGAGAGAGCAUCCGGCGCGGGCAGAGGCGUACCGGCCCGACCUCACGCCUCUCAUGGACUCUUCUCCAGGGUACCAUGGCCCAGAUGAGAAACUGAGUCUCCAGGGAGUUAAGUGA